rnacentral:snoRNA from 1 species
UGAUUAGUUCCUGUGAGAGCAAACUAUUAGGAAAAAAGCAAGCCUGUUGCUGUGGACAUGACCAUAAAAAGUGUUCCCACUUAGUUUUCUGUAUGUUGCCCUGUUAGCAACCAAUCUACUGGGAACAUUU